rnacentral:rRNA from 1 species
GACGAACGCUGGCGGCGUGCUUAACACAUGCAAGUCGAACGGAAAGGCCCCCUUGUGGGGUACUCGAGUGGCGAACGGGUGAGUAACACGUGAGUAACCUACCCUUGACUUUGGGAUAACUUCAGGAAACGGGGGCUAAAACCGUAUAGGAGCUCCUGCUGCAUGGUGGGGGUUGGAAAGUUUCGGCGGUUGGGGAUGGACUCGCGGCUUAUCAGCUUGUUGGUGAGCUAGUGGCUCACCAAGGCGUUGACGGGUAGCCGGCCUGAGAGGGUGACCGGCCACAUUGCGCCUGCGGUACGGCCCAGUCGCCUACGGGCGGCAGUAGUCGGGAGUAUUGCACAACGGGCCGGAGCGUGAGACAGAAAUGCCGCGUGCGGAAUGCCCGCCUUCGGGUUGUAAACAGAUUUCGAAUGUGACGAAGAGUGAGUGACGGUAAUGGGUAAAGAAGCACCGGCUAACUACGUG